rnacentral:rRNA from 1 species
ACGCUGGCGGCAGGCCUAACACAUGCAAGUCGAGCGGUAGAGAGAAGCUUGCUUCUCUUGAGAGCGGCGGACGGGUGAGUAAUGCCUAGGAAUCUGCCUGGUAGUGGGGGAUAACGUUCGGAAACGGACGCUAAUACCGCAUACGUCCUACGGGAGAAAGCAGGGGACCUUCGGGCCUUGCGCUAUUAGAUGAGCCUAGGUCGGAUUAGCUAGUUGGUGAGGUAAUGGCUCACCAAGGCGACGAUCCGUAACUGGUCUGAGAGGAUGAUCAGUCACACUGGAACUGAGACACGGUCCAGACUCCUACGGGAGGCAGCAGUGGGGAAUAUUGGACAAUGGGCGAAAGCCUGAUCCAGCCAUGCCGCGUGUGUGAAGAAGGUCUUCGGAUUGUAAAGCACUUUAAGUUGGGAGGAAGGGCAGUUACCUAAUACGUGAUUGUUUUGACGUUACCGACAGAAUAAGCACCGGCUAACUCUGUGCCAGCAGCCGCGGUAAUACAGAGGGUGCAAGCGUUAAUCGGAAUUACUGGGCGUAAAGCGCGCGUAGGUGGUUUGUUAAGUUGGAUGUGAAAUCCCCGGGCUCAACCUGGGAACUGCAUUCAAAACUGACUGACUAGAGUAUGGUAGAGGGUGGUGGAAUUUCCUGUGUAGCGGUGAAAUGCGUAGAUAUAGGAAGGAACACCAGUGGCGAAGGCGACCACCUGGACUGAUACUGACACUGAGGUGCGAAAGCGUGGGGAGCAAAC